GAGGAAUGUAUAGCAAUAGCUACUUGCAUCGUCUUAAGGAUGAUGCAAGAUCGACUAUGUCGAAUAAAAUUCUAGGUAGAAUUAUGAUAAUGACAUUGUCUGCCUAUGUGUCUUGACCAAAUUACGUGCCAGCAGUCGCGGUAAUACGUAGAAGACUAGUGUUAUUCAUGUUUAAUCGGUUUAAAGGGUACCUAGACGGUAAAUCAAGCUUUCCAAGAAAUAAAGUUAAAGGACUAAUUUACUAGAGUUACUUGUGAGGGGGUAUUAAAGUACUGCUGGUGUAGAGAUGAAAUUCUGUCAUACCUCUUUUCAAUAGAAAAAUGAUGGCACAGGUAUAGGCGAAGGCAUCCCCUUAUGUGAUAACUGACGUUGAAGGACGAAGGCUUUGUGUAGCGAACAGGAUUAGAUACCCCAGUAGUCGAAGCAGAAAAUGAUGAAUGUCAUAGAUUAGAGGUAAUUUUAUUCUAUAAAUGAAAGUGUAAGCAUUCCACCUCAUGAGUAAUUUGGCAACAUUGGAACUGAAAUCAUUAGACCGUUUCUGAAACCAGUAGUGAAGUAUGUUGUUUAAUUUGAUGGUCCGCAAAAAACCUUACCACAAUUUGAAUAUUUAUAUUUUUUUUUGUUGUUUUCUUCUUAAUUUUUUUCUGAGACAUGAUGAACAUGAAAAUGUACAUGAUGAUGAACAUGAAAAUGUACAUGAUGAUGAACAUGAAAAUGUACAUCAUCAUGAAGAUAAUGAUAAAAUAAACGAGAAAAAGAAGAAAGUUAACAGGGAGGCAAUAAGAUAUAUUUACAAGCGUUGCACGGCUGUCUUCAGUUAAUGUCGCGAGACUUUGGUUAGUUCCAUUAAAUUAACGUAAACCCUUACUUUAUUUUUAUAUAGAGUAGUUCCCCGCUAUAUUGGAUAUGAU
rnacentral:rRNA from 1 species